rnacentral:rRNA from 1 species
UCUUACGAGCUUAAGCUUAAAACCCAAAGGACUUGACGGUGUCCCACCCACCUAGAGGAGCCUGUUCUAUAAUCGACACUCCCCGCUUCACCUCACCAUUUUUAGCCUCUCAGCCUGUAUACCUCCGUCGCAAGCUUACCCUAUGAACGUAUUAGUAAGCCCAAAGGUUCACCCACCAGCACGUCAGGUCAAGGUGCAGCUCAUAAAAUGGAAAGCAAUGGGCUACAAUUUCUAAUAUAGAAUAAACGAAAAACUGUAUGAAACACAGUAAUGAAGGCGGAUUUAGUAGUAAAAAGAAAUUAGUAUGUUCUUUUUAAUCCGGCUCUGGGACGCGUACACACCGCCCGUCACCCU